rnacentral:rRNA from 1 species
AUAAGGGGAUCCCAAGUGCGUAGGCAUAGAGCCUACGCUUUUGUCCACCCUAGGGUGGUGGACGAAUAAGGGCUGGGCAAGACCGGUGCCAGCCGCCGCGGUAAUACCGGCAGCCCAAGUGAUGGCCGAUCUUAUUGGGCCUAAAGCGUCCGUAGCUGGCCGCACAAGUCCAUCGGGAAAUCCACCUGCUCAACAGGUGGGCGUCCGGUGGAAACUGCGUGGCUUGGGACCGGAAGGCGCGACGGGUACGUCCGGGGUAGGAGUGAAAUCCUGUAAUCCUGCACGGACCGCCGAUGGCGAAAGCACGUCGAGAAAACGGAUCCGACAGUGAGGGACGAAAGCUAGGGUCUCGAACCGGAUUAGAUACCCGGGUAGUCCUAGCCGUAAACAAUGCCUGCUAGGUGUGGCACACACUACGAGUGGGUGCUGUGCCGUAGGGAA